AUUGAACGCUGGCGGCAGGCCUAACACAUGCAAGUCGAACGAGUGGCGGACGGGUGAGUAAUGUCUGGGAAACUGCCUGAUGGAGGGGGAUAACUAAUGGAAACGGUAGCUAAUACCGCAUACCAUCAGAUGUGCCCAGAUGGGAUUAGCUAGUUGGUGGGGUAACGGCCUACCAAGGCGACGAUCCCUAGCUGGUCUGAGAGGAUGACCAGCCACAUUGGAACUGAGACACGGCCCAGACUCCUACGGGAGGCAGCAGUGGGGAAUAUUGGACAAUGGGCGCAAGCCUGAUCCAGCCAUGCCGCGUGUAUGAAGAAGGCCUUCGGGUUGUAAAGGACUUUCGUCGGGGAGGCGUUACCCGCAGAAGAAGCACCGGCUAACUCCGUGCCAGCAGCCGCGGUAAUAC
rnacentral:rRNA from 1 species